AUUGAACGCUGGCGGCAUGCUUUACACAUGCAAGUCGAACGGCAACAGCACUUCGGUGGCUGUCGAGUUGCGGACGGGCGGGUAAUACAUCGGAACGUGCCUAGCUGUGGGGGCUAACUAGUCAACAGAGUAGAUCUUACCCCAUUAGCUCUUAGGACGAUAGCAGGGGAGCUUCGGGCCUCACGCUACCUCACCAGUUGAUGGCGGAUUAGGUAGUUGGUGGGGUAAAGGCUUAACAAGCCGACGAUCUGUAGCUGGUCUGAGAGGACGACCAGCCACACUGGAACUGAGACACGGCCCAGACUCCUACGGGAGGCAGCAGUGGGGAAUAUUGGACAAUGGGCGCAAGCCUGAUCCAGCAAUACCGCGUGCAUGAUGAAGGCCUUCGGGUUGUAAACUGCUUUUGUUCGGAACGAAAAGCCCUCUUCUAAUACAGGAGGAUCAUGACGGUACCGAAAGAAUAAGCACCGGCUAACUACGUG
rnacentral:rRNA from 1 species